UACGGGGGGGGCAAGCGUUGUUCGGAAUUACUGGGCGUAAAGGGCUCGUAGGCGGCCAACUAAGUCGGAUGUGAAAUCCCCAAGCUUAACUUGGGAACUGCAUCCGAUACUGGAUGGCUUGAAUCCGGGAGAGGGAUGCAGAAUUCCAGGUGUAGCGGUGAAAUGCGCAGAUAUCAGGAGGAACACCGGUGGCGAAGGCGGGUCUCUGGGCCGAUACUGACGCUGGAGGAGCGAAAGCGUGGGGAGCGAACAGG
rnacentral:rRNA from 1 species